CCUUCGAUAGCUCAGUUGGUAGAGCGGAGGACUGUAGCGGGCACUUGUUGACAUCCUUAGGUCGCUGGUUCGAAUCCGGCUCGAAGGA
rfam:Branchiostoma floridae genomic scaffold BRAFLscaffold_258, whole genome shotgun sequence.